rnacentral:rRNA from 1 species
AUUCUGCGAAGCUGGCGGCGCGCUUAAACAUGCAAGUCGAGCGAGACCAGCCCUUCGGGGCUGGGGACAGCGGCGAACGGGUGAGUAACACGUGGGUAAUCUGCCCUCGGCACCGGAAUAGCCCGGGGAAACCCGGAUUAAUGCCGGAUGGCCUCUCGAGCUUUCGGGCUCGCGAGAAAAGGUAGCUUCGGCCUCCGGCCGAGGAUGAGCCCGCGGCCGAUUAGCUUGUUGGUGGGGUAAUGGCUCACCAAGGCGACGAUCGGUAGCUGGUCUGAGAGGACGAUCAGCCACACUGGGACUGAGACACGGCCCAGACUCCUACGGGAGGCAGCAGUGGGGAAUCUUGCGCAAUGGGCGAAAGCCUGACGCAGCGACGCCGUGUGCGGGAAGAAGGCCUUCGGGUUGUAAACCGCUUUCAGGAGGGACGAAGCCACUCAGGUUAAUAGCCGAGAGGGUGACGGUACCUCCAGAAGAAGCCCCCGGCUAACUACGUUGCCAGCAGCCCGCCGGUUAUACUUAUAGGGGGCCUAGCGUUGUCCCGGAUUU